rnacentral:rRNA from 1 species
UACGGGGGGUGCGAGCGUUGUCCGGAAUCACUGGGCGUAAAGGGCGCGUAGGUGGUUUGAUAAGGGUGUGGUGAAAGCCCGGGGCUCAACCCCGGGUCUGCCGUGCCGACUGUCAAACUCGAGGGCUGUAGAGGCAGACGGAAUUCCGGGUGUAGCGGUGGAAUGCGCAGAUAUCAGGAGGAACACCGGUGGCGAAGGCGGGUCUCUGGGCAGUAACUGACGCUGAGGAGCGAAAGCGUGGGGAGCGAACAGG